GCAGAGGAGCUGGCUUUACCCAUGAAGAAAGUGGAGGUGUGUCCGGGUCGAGUCGUUGCAAUCAUCACGUGGGUCGGCAGCCGGCCGGAGCUGAAGUCUGUGAUGCUGAACUCACACACUGAUGUGGUUCCGGUUUAUGAGGAACACUGGAAGCAUGAUCCAUUUGCUGCUGUUAAAGAUGAGCAUGGCAACAUCUACGGCAGAGGAUCUCAGGAUAUGAAAUGUGUCACGA